rfam:Mustela putorius furo unplaced genomic scaffold scaffold00400, whole genome shotgun sequence.
GGCCCCAUGGUGUAAUGGUCAGCACUCUGGACUCUGAAUUCAGCGAUCCGAGUUCAAGUCUCGGUGGGACCU